rnacentral:lncRNA from 1 species
AAAUAUGAUAUAAAAUUAAGUUUCAAAAUGUCAAUAUUCUCUCUAUUAAAUUAUGCCUUGGGCUCGUUUCAUGUCAGAUAUAUACAUGUAGUUUAAACAAAUGCAAUGGUAAACAUCAAAUAGGUUGCACGCAAUUAGCCAUCUAUUAAUAGGAAGUGUUGAACUAUUUUUAUCUGACCGUCACUGAUGAGUUUAAUGUAGACGAAACGCGCGUCUAGCGUACUUAAUUAUAAUCCUGGUACCUUUGAUGACUAUUUUCACACGAUCUAUAAUUCACGGUAUGUGAUCCAAACCAGUAUCACACAUGCUUUAACCACUAAAUAGGCCUUUUUUGCAUAUCCGGAAGUGAUUCCGGUGAAUAACUGAGAUUGGAC